rnacentral:lncRNA from 1 species
CUUAGUGAUACUUUUACAACAGGUUUCGAAUUUGAUCUAAUCAAAUCCGGUUAUAUAGGUUCACUAGAUUGUGUUAGUUCUUCUAUCUAUUGAAUUUUUUAAGUUCUAUAUUAAAGGUAUCAGUUCCUUCACCAAGGUACUUCUUUCCUAAAAAGAAUGUCGAACAAUUUUUAUUCUUUAGUAAGGUAGAAGUUAUAUCCCCUAG